rnacentral:rRNA from 1 species
UACAGAGGUCUCAAGCGUUGUUCGGAUUCAUUGGGCGUAAAGGGUGUGUAGGGGCGCCGUAAGUCGGGUGUGAAAUUUCGGAGCUUAACUCCGAAACUGCAUUCGAUACUGCGGUGCUUGAGGACUGGAGAGGAGACUGGAAUUCAUGGUGUAGCAGUGAAAUGCGUAGAGAUCAUGAGGAAGACCAGUGGCGAAGGCGGGUCUCUGGACAGUUCCUGACACUGAGACACGAAGGCCAGGGGAGCAAACGGG